GACGAACGCUGGCGGCGUGCUUAACACAUGCAAGUCGAACGGAAAGGCCCUGCUUUUGUUGGGUGCUCGAGUGGCGAACGGGUGAGUAACACGUGUGUAACCUGCCCUUGACUUUGGGAUAACUUCAGGAAACUGGGGCUAAUACCGCAUAGCAGCUCCUGCUGCAUGGUGGGGGUUGGAAAGUUUCGGCGGUUGGGGAUGGACUAGCGGCUUAUCAGCUUGUUGGUGGGGUAGUGGCUUACCAAGGCUUUGACGGGUAGCCGGCCUGAGAGGGUGACCGGCCACAUUGGGACGGAGAUACGGCCCAGACUCCUACGGGAGGCAGCAGUGGGGAAUAUUACACAAUGGGCGGAAGCCUGAUGCAGCAACGCCGCGUGCGGGAUGACGGCCUUCGGGUUGUAAACCGCUUUCGCCUGUGACGAAGCGGGAGUGACGGUAAUGGGUAAAGAAGCACCGGCUAACUACGUG
rnacentral:rRNA from 1 species